UUUCCGUAGGUGAACCUGCGGAAGGAUCAUUAUUGAAACUUCUUUGGAGGUAGUACUGUUGCUGGCCUUGUAAUGAGGUAUGUGCACGUACUAUUUCUAAUCUAUUCAUCCACCUGUGCACUUAUUGUAGGAGUUCUUUGAGGUUGGCUCGUGUAGGCUUCGGCUUAUACAGGUUGACUUUAAAAGGCUUCUAUGUCUUAUACAAACCUAUUAAAGUAUGUUCUAGAAUGUCAUUUAUUGGGACUUUAUUGGCCCUUUAAACUUGUACAACUUUUAGCAACGGAUCUCUUGGCUCUCCCAUCGAUGAAGAACGCAGC
rnacentral:misc_RNA from 1 species